rnacentral:rRNA from 1 species
CCGCGAGGUAGAGCAAAUCUCAAAAAGACAUCUCAGUUCAGAUUGCAGGCUGCAACUCGCCUGCAUGAAGUCGGAAUUGCUAGUAAUCGUAGGUCAGCAUACUACGGUGAAUACGUUCCCGGGCCUUGUACACACCGCCCGUCACACCAUGAGAGCCGGUAACACCCGAAGUCGGUAGUCUAACUUUUAGAGGACGCCGCCGAAGGUGGGACUGGUGAUUGGGGUGAAGUCGUAACAAGGUAUC